rnacentral:rRNA from 1 species
AAAGGAAUAGACGGGGGCCCGCACAAGCGGUGGAGCAUGUGGUUUAAUUCGAUGCAACGCGAAGAACCUUACCAUCCCUUGACAUCCAGAGAAUUUUCUAGAGAUAGAUUAGUGCCUUCGGGAACUCUGAGACAGGUGCUGCAUGGCUGUCGUCAGCUCGUGUCGUGAGAUGUUGGGUUAAGUCCCGCAACGAGCGCAACCCUUGUCAUUAGUUGCUACCAUUAAGUUGAGAACUCUAAUGAGACUGCCGGUGAUAAACCGGAGGAAGGCGGGGACGACGUCAAGUCAUCAUGGCCCUUAUGGGAUGGGCUACACACGUGCUACAAUGGUCGGUACAAACAGAAGCGAAGCCGCGAGGUGGUGCAAAUCUGAUAAAGCCGAUCGUAGUCCGGAUUGGAGUCUGCAACUCGACUCCAUGAAGUCGGAAUCGCUAGUAAUCGUAAAUCAGAAUGUUACGGUGAAUACGUUCCCGGGCCUUGUACACACCGCCCGU